rfam:Myotis lucifugus cont2.47113, whole genome shotgun sequence.
AGGCCUGGAGAGAGAGGCAGGGUCUGAUCCACAGCCCUCGUGGUAGCUGUUGAUCAGCCAUUGCCUCUCUCUUUCUCUCCA